rfam:Ictidomys tridecemlineatus contig030881, whole genome shotgun sequence.
UGGUGUAUAGUUCAGUGGCAGAGCACUUGCCUGGCAUGUGCGCAAGACUCUGGGUUCAAUUCCCAGUUCCACAA